rnacentral:lncRNA from 1 species
UUUUUUUUUUUUUUUUUUUGAGACGGAGUCUCGCUCUGUCGCCCAGGCUGGAGUGCAGUGGCCGGAUCUCAGCUCACUGCAAGCUCCGCCUCCUGGGUUCAUGCCAUUCUCCUGCCUCAGCCUCCUGAGUAGCUGGGACUACAGGUGCCCGCCGCCACACCCGGCUAAUUUUUUGUAUUUUUAGUGGAGAUGGGGUUUCACUGUGUUAGCCAGGAUGGUCUUGAUCUCCUGACCUCAUGAUCCACCCGCCUCAGCCUCCCAAAGUGCUGGGAUUACAGGCGUGAGUCACCAUGAUCAGCCUGUAAAAAUGUUAUUUUUAAAGAAUCAAAAUUGGCCAGGCAUGGCGGCUCGCGCCUAUAAUCCUAGCACUUUGGGAGGCCGAGGCGGGCGUAAUGCCUGAGGUCAGGAGUUCGAGACCAGCCUGGGCAAGACAGUAAAACCUUGCCUUUACUAAAAUACAAAAAAAUUAGCCAGGCAUGGUGGUGUGUGCCUGUAGUCCUAGCUACUCAGGAGGCUGAGGCAGGAGAAGUGCUUGAACCCGGGAGGCGACGGUUGCAGUGAGCCAAGAUCACGCCAUUGCACUCCAGCCUGGGAAAAAGAGCACAAGACUCCAUCUAAAAAAAAAAAACAAACAAAAAUCAAAAUUAAGAAAAAACUGGGCUAUACAUUUCUUAAUGAAAUACUAGUAAAGAUAAUGGAUUGGACGCAUGUGUAAUUUUAUUUCCUCCUAAGCCUCCACCAAAAAUACAAUAAAGGAAUCCUUAAAAGCCAUCAAUCCUUAAAAGUGAGGAGAACAAGGGAAAUAAUGGCAACAUGAUGCUGGAGGUGGAAACGUGACGGGCAAAUGACAACUGACCUGGCAAGUCCAAAGGGGAAUGCCAAGGCAUCAAUGUGGCAAACGUCUCAGAGGCUUGGAAGGUGGCAGCAGGUAGGGAAGAGGAAGAUGGGUCCCCAGACACCCUCUUCUACUCCAGGCCAUGGGAAGAUCUCUGAACCAGCGGGCCCCAGACAGAGCCAGGGGCUUGGGCACCAUUUCAGUCAGAAGAUCAAAGUGAUAGGCACACACUGAUUGAUGAAUGACGACUUUCCUCUAUUCCCUACCUGGCACUCAGAACGCAGGGAGCCAUGCCCUGACCCACCUGACAGAAAAGAUGAGCCUGGCCCUACCUACCGUCUAGUCUCAACACUGUGGCAAGGGAUCCCUACAACAUCAAAGUCUCAUCACGACACUCCUUUGGGGGAAACCCUGAGUAAAAGUCAAAGUCCUUACCAAGACCUAAAAGGUCCCACCUUAUCUGAAGCUCCAUGAUCCUCGGCCUCGGCUUCUACCACUGUUUCCUCCCCUCCGGCUAGACUGGGCUCCUUGCUAGACACUGAACCCACCCAGCCGUGCUCCCUCCCUCAGGCCCUUUGCACUUGCCUUUCCCUCUGCCUGGAAUGAUCUUUUCCCGGGUGUCU